rnacentral:rRNA from 1 species
GGGGCGGCAGCCUCGAUUUGUCGGGAUCAUACUGGCAAAUACCUUGGUUCAUCGGCUAUGGUCUUCGAUCUAAUUACGGACCCUCCUACGCUGGAAGCGCUUGCUUGUAGAGAAGCUCUGUCUCUUGCACUCGAUUUAUCUUUGGAUCGAGUUGUUAUCGCAUGUGACUGUAAAACACUAGUGGAUGAGAUAGAGAAAGGUUCGGAUGGGAAAUAUGGUAUGAUCAUUAAGGAGAUUGUUGCAAGGGCAAGGGAACUUACUAGCUGCAAGUUUGUUUUUGAAGGCCGGGCAAUGAAUGUUGAUGCCCAUAAUUUAGUGAAGUUCUCUACAUCCUUAGAAGAAGGACGUCAUGUGUGGCUGGGGACACCCCACGACCCUUUUGUAAUUCAUGUAAACCUGACAAUUGAGUAA